AUUGAACGCUGGCGGCAUGCCUUACACAUGCAAGUCGAACGGCAGCACGGGAGCAAUCCUGGUGGCGAGUGGCGAACGGGUGAGUAAUACAUCGGAACGUACCCUGACGUGGGGGAUAACGUAGCGAAAGUUACGCUAAUACCGCAUACGUCCUGAGGGAGAAAGCAGGGGAUCGUAAGACCUUGCGCGUUAGGAGCGGCCGAUGGCGGAUUAGCUAGUUGGUAGGGUAAAGGCCUACCAAGGCGACGACCCGUAGCGGGUCUGAGAGGACGACCCGCCACACUGGAACUGAGACACGGUCCAGACUCCUACGGGAGGCAGCAGUGGGGAAUUUUGGACAAUGGGCGAAAGCCUGAUCCAGCCAUUCCGCGUGAGUGAAGAAGGCCUUCGGGUUGUAAAGCCCUUUCGGCAGGGAAGAAACGGUUUUGGAUAAUACCCAGAACUAAUGACGGUACCUGAAGAAGAAGCACCGGCUAACUACGUGCCAGCAGCCGCGGUAA
rnacentral:rRNA from 1 species